UGGGGAAUUUUCCGCAAUGGGCGAAAGCCUGACGGAGCAAUGCCGCGUGGAGGUGGAGGGCCUACGGGUCGUCAACUUCUUUUCUCGGAGAAGAAACAAUGACGGUAUCUGAGGAAUAAGCAUCGACUAACUCUGUGCCAG
rnacentral:rRNA from 1 species